rnacentral:lncRNA from 1 species
AAAUAAAUUAUAUAAUAUUAACUCAAUAUAAUUUAAUAUUAAUCGUAUUUUGUUGUAUAACUCAAUAUAAUAAAAAAUCAUGUUGCUUUUGGCCCUAAUUAUUAAUUUUAUGCGGAUACAAAUACACCCCACCAACCCGAUUUGCCCACCCACCUAUUCGGUUGAGCAGUUGAAGUACAUGUUUUGGUGCAUCCCUAGUAAAGGGAGUUUGAUAAACUUGGC